rnacentral:rRNA from 1 species
UCAAGCUAAGAAGAGCGCAGGGCGAAUGCCUUGGCACUGGGAGCCGAAGAAGGACGCGAUAAGCUGCGAUAAGCUGCGGGGAGGAGCAAAUAUCCAUUGAUCCGCAGAUUUCCGAAUGGAGAAAUCCGUAUGGAGAAGUCCAUACAUCAUAUACUGAAUUCAUAGGUAUAUGAGGGAAACCGCCUGAACUGAAACAUCUAAGUAGGGCGAGGAAAAGAAAUCAACCGAGAUACCGCAAGUAGUGGCGAGCGAACGCGGCAGAGGCCAAACCGGGAGUAGAAAUACUCCCGGGGUUGCGGACUGCAUUUAGCAUUGUUGAUCUUUAACCGAAGGGCAUGGGAAGGCCCACCGAAGAACGUGAGAGUCGUGUAGGUGAAAAGGAGAGACAGCGAGCAGGAUCCAGAGUACCGCGGGACACGAGGAAUCCCGUGGGAAGCCGGGGGGACCACCCUCCAAGCCUAAAUACUACCCAGUGACCGAUAGCGUAUAGUACUGUGAAGGAAAGGUGAAAAGGACCCCGGGAGGGGAGUGAAAUAGAACCUGAAACCCUGUGCUUACAAGCACCGAGAGCCCGUCAAUGGGUGAUCGGGUACUUUUUGUAGAACGGUCCGGCGAGUAUAUGGAACAAGCAAGGUUAAGGUCUUCAGGACCGAAGCCGAAGGGAAACCAAGUCUUAAUAGGGCGCACAGUUUGUUUCAUAUGACCCGAAACCGGGUGACCUAUCCAUGUCCAGGUUGAAGUGGCGGUAAAACGCCAUGGAGGACCGAACCAACCCCCGUUGAAAAGGUGGUGGAUGAGGUGUGGAUAGCGGAGAAAUUCCAAUCGAACUCGGAUAUAGCUGGUUCUCCCCGAAAUAGCUUUAGGGCUAGCGUUGUGUUAGAUUACCGGAGGUAAAGCACUGAAUAGGCUAGGGGGCGAGAGUCUACCGACCCUUAUCAAACUCUGAAUGCCGGAUAAUUGAUGCACAGCAGUCAGACAGUGUGAGAUAAGUUUCAUUGUCAAAAGGGAAACAGCCCAGACCCACAGCUAAGGUCCCAAAUGUAUGUUAAGUGGAAAAGGAUGUCCAGUUGCACAAACAACCAGGAUGUUGGCUUAGAAGCAGCCACACAUUCAAAGAGUGCGUAACAGCUCACUGGUCGAGUGACCGGGCGCCGAAAAUGUAACGGGGCUAAACAUACAACCGAAGCUUGGGCUGCACAGCAAUGUGCGGGGUAGGGGAGCGUUGUGUGCGGGGAGAAGCACGAGCGGAAGCGCGUGUGGACUGCACAGAAGUGAGAAUGCCGGAAUGAGUAGCGCGAAUUAUGUGAGAAUCAUAAUGGCCGAAAGCCUAAGGUUUCUGGAGGAAGGUUCGUCCGCUCCAGGUUAGCCGGGAGCUAAGGUGAGGCCGAAAGGCGUAGCCGAUGCACAUACGGUGGAGAUUCCGUAGCCAUCAAAAGAUUUAAGCAGAGGGACACAGUAGAAGGGUACAUGCCGGGCGUUGGUAGCCCCGGUUGCAAGGGACCGAAAUUAGAGUAGGGAAGAUGGACUUGGAUACUGGCGAGAAAAGCUCUGUGGAUAUCUGCGAUGCCCGUACCGCAAACCGACACAGGUAGGUAGGAAGAGGAUUCUAAGGCCAACGGGAGAAGGGUUGUUAAGGAACUCGGCAAGUUGACCCCGUAACUUCGGGAGAAGGGGUGCUCUGGAAACAGAGCCGCAGAGAAUAGGUCCAGGCAACUGUUUAGCAAAAACACAGCUCUCUGCUAAAUCGAAAGAUGAUGUAUAGGGGGUGACGCCUGCCCGGUGCUGGAAGGUUAAGAGGAGGAGUGAGAGCCCCGAAUCGAAGCCCCAGUAAACGGCGGCCGUAACUAUAACGGUCCUAAGGUAGCGAAAUUCCUUGUCAGGUAAGUUCUGACCCGCACGAAUGG